rnacentral:tRNA from 1 species
GUCGGGAUAGCUCAGUUGGUAGAGCAGAGGACUGAAAAUCCUCCUG